rnacentral:pre_miRNA from 1 species
AGAGUGCUUUUGAGCCAAGGAUGACUUGCCGGCUAAACUAAUAACUGUGAUCUCUUCUUAGGAUUUACGGUUUACGGUUUUGUUCGCAAGACAUCUUGGCUCACUUGUGCUCCCU